GCAAGUCGAACGAUAAGUUUACAGAUAGUGGCGGAUGGGUGCGUAACACGUGGGAAUCUACCCUUGGGUGAGGAACAACAGUUGGAAACGACUGCUAAUACCUCAUAAUGUCUUCGGACCAAAGAUUUAUCGCCCAAGGAUGAGCCCGCGGCUGAUUAGUUUGUUGGUGGGGUAAUGGCCUACCAAGACUACGAUCAGUAGCUGGUCUGAGAGGAUGAUC
rnacentral:rRNA from 1 species